rnacentral:ncRNA from 1 species
AAUCAAGCUUUGAAGGGCACACAGUGGAUGCCUUGGUGCUAGAAGGCGAUGAAGGACGUGACAAGCUGCGAUAAGCUU